rnacentral:rRNA from 1 species
CAGCAGCCACGGGAAUACGUAUGUCGCGAGCGUUAUCCGGAAUUAUUGGGCAUAAAGGGCAUCUAGGCGGCCGGAUAAGUCUGGGGUGAAAACUUGCGGCUCAACCGCAAGCCUGCCCUGGAAACUAUGCGGCUAGAGUACUGGAGAGGUGGACGGAACUGCACGAGUAGAGGUGAAAUUCGUAGAUAUGUGCAGGAAUGCCGAUGAUGAAGAUAGUUCACUGGACGGUAACUGACGCUGAAGUGCGAAAGCUAGGGGAGCAAACAGGAUUAGAUACCCCUGUAGUCCCUGUCUCUUAUAC